GUGCAGCAGUCGAGAAACCUCCGCAAUGCUCGAAAGAGCGACGGGGGACUCCAAGUGCCUACGCUUUGCGUAGGCUUUUCCCAAGCCUAAAAAGCUUGGGGAAUAAGGGCUGGGUAAGACGGGUGCCAGCCGCCGCGGUAAUACCCGCAGCCCGAGUGGUGGCCGCUUUUAUUGGGCCUAAAGCGUCCGUAGCCGGUCUGGUAAAUGCCUGGGUAAAUCGUCUGGCUCAACCAGACGAAUUCCGGGUAGACUGCCAGACUAGGGACCGGAGGAAGGAGAGGGUACUCCGGGGGUAGGGGUGAAAUCCUGUAAUCCUCGGAGGACCACCGGUGGCGAAGGCGCUCUCCUAGGACGGGUCCGACGGUGAGGGACGAAAGCCAGGGGAGCAAACCGGAUUAGAUACCCCCGUAGU
rnacentral:rRNA from 1 species